GACGUAGGGGGCAAGCGUUGUCCGGAAUCAUUGGGCGUAAAGAGCGUGUAGGCGGCUCGGUAAGUCCGCUGUGAAAGUCCAGGGCUCAACCCUGGAAUGCCAGUGGAAACUGCCAAGCUAGAGUCCGGAAGAGGCGAGUGGAACUCCUGGUGUAGCGGUGAAAUGCGCAGAUAUCAGGAAGAACACCAAUGGCGAAGGCAGCUCGCUGGGACGCGACUGACGCUGAGACGCGAAAGCGUGGGGAGCAAACAGG
rnacentral:rRNA from 1 species